CAAAACAUGAUCUCUGUCCUUGGGUUUCAUCCACAGAUAUGUCUGCAGCAUGUUUUUCGGGUCAGGGAAUAAAAGAGACUAUUCAUAUCAUCUGACUUCCUGAAAUGCAAUAACUGAUGCCAGCUCUAUUCUGGGACCCACCCAGCAAUGCAAAC